GCCGGAAUGGUGGAAUAGGCAGACACUGACGCCUCAAAAGCGUCUGCUCGAAAGGGCGUGCGGGUUCGAGUCCCGCUUCCGGCACC
rnacentral:tRNA from 1 species